GGCGGGGUAGUUUAGUGGUAAUAACAGUGGAAUCAUAAUCCACACGUCGUGGGUUCAAGUCCCACCCUCGCCC
rnacentral:tRNA from 1 species